ensembl:lncRNA
UAAAGUUCUAUAAUGAACCAUUGAACAACAUUUAUAUUUUACUCUUGUGCGUCAAUUAAAAAAAAAGUUAUACAUAGGUCCAUAGAGGACAAAAUGUCCAUGCCCAAAAUCUUCAUAAAAAUAUUAUAUAUUAAUAUUUUUCCCACUUUCACUGACGUCGAUGUUUUACCAGCAUCAGUUCUAAUCAUAAUAACUAAACAUUCAUUCAUUUUCAGAAUUGUAACCCUUUAAACGCCAGUUUCUUUACAUAAUGCAAAAAUCUUAAAAGCUCAGUAAACUUCUUUGACUUAGACAUGGGGUGGGAUUUGUGAUUUCUAGUACAAUAUAAUUUCUUUCUUUCAACUGUUCACACACACACACACACAAUUUUCAGUACACACAUAAAAACCACAACUCUGAUAUCCAUACAAACACAAUCACACGUUAUAGCUGCAUCAUUUAUUUAGUUGGUCUGCAGUAUUCUAUAAUACAACAGACUCAGAAAAAAGGAAAAGCAUGUAUUUUCUCCAUAGGCAAAACCUCAGAAAAUAGUACACAUUUCAGAUUUUUUUUUAAAGUAGUGUUUUGAAACCUUGUCAACAAAAUAAAAGCCUAUUAACACAGACUCCACUAUUUUAUGCUUAAACGUCACGGGUAUUAAAUAUUACAGUUUGAAUGGGUUUUAGUUGGGAAAUUUUUGUCCUUAAGGUCCUGAGUGUACCUAUUUUGUGUACCUAAUUUAAAAUAGAUUUAUGAAAGCAAAUGAGGGUGAUGUAUUAAAGGUCCGAUAAAAAUACACACCUUUUGCAAAAUGUAUGCUGAUUUCAUUAACAUAGACAAAAUGAUAAAAUAAUAAUAAUAAUAAUCAUAAAAAAAUGAAAAAGACAAAAAUGUCCAUAAGGACGCACAAGGGUUAAGAGUGUACAAGUCUGCCUGAAGGUAUUACUUUUAUUUAUUUUAUUUUUUUUAAUUCAGUCAUGUAAAGACAAAUAAGGUGUUGUGGUGGCACCCCAGGUAUAGAGAGCAUGUUCGAUCUUGAGCUCUGGUUACUGUUGAUGUGGAGUUUCAGUGCAUGUUCUCCCUCUGUCUGUGUUGGUUUCCACUGGGCUCUCCGGUUUCGUUCCUCCUACCAAAAACAUGCCAGUCGAUGGAUUUUCUAGGCGUGAAUAAGUGUUUGCACAGUGCCCUGUGAUGAACUGGCAUCCCACUCAGUCUCUGGGUCCACUGCAGCCAUGACUAGGAUAAGUAUAUGCAUGGGUCCAAUUGUUUUUCAAUGUUCCAGGGGUCAGUGAAGCAUAGUGUUUGCUUGCUUGCUUGUUUGCUUUUUACAGUGCU